CCUAAAGCUGAGGUUAUCAACUUCCUUAGCCUCAAACUUACCCUGGGAGCUAGCAGAACCUGCUUUCUGGAAUACCCCCCCUGACCCUCCAAAGACUCAUAACCCCUGGUGAAGCAGCAAAAGCUGUCCAACACUAAAGGCCUUCAGCCCUCAUCUGUUGGACAGAACAUGCAAAAGUCCACAACCUGCAGAACCAAAGAGCCUUUAGAACCUUAGCUGGUAUUAAAGUUUGGCUGAAUCCUGGGUUGGCAGGAACAACAAUCACCAGCUGGCUCCUGAUUGGUCCACGAGCAGCAGGUGAGAGGCAGGUGAAAGACGACACCUUCAUCCGUUAUUCAGCAGCCUGACUGGAGCUGAACAGCAUUGGGGCUGGGUUCUGAUGAAUUCUGGUCUCUUCUCUUCUUUCUUCAUCACAGCCGGUUCUACUGGUCAGAACCGGCUGUGAUCCAAACUGCUUCAGUGUUUGAUCUGCUGUGGUUCCAGUAGCAUCUGCAGGUCAGAGGCAUAAAGUUCUGGUCUGGUUCUGUUGGAUUCAUGGAAGGAGUCAACGUGCGUGGCGUGCACGUGUACCAAACCGCCGUGAAGCUGCUGUCCCUGCAGAGAUGCUGCUACCUGGACAGAGUGCUAGUUCGCCACGUCCAGGCUGCGCUUGAUGCUGUGGGCGGAGCUACACAGCAGCAGGAUGCCCUGAUGGACAGGGAGGAAGUGAUGCGCUUUCUGAGCCUCAUGUUUGAGCAGGUGUCACAGGAGAUUCCUGAGGAAGCUCCAGAGGAGACCUGUGCUGUGGUGUUCAGGCUGUUUGACGGGCUUGGGACGGGUCGAGUGUCCGUUCGGUCUCUACAGACCGCUCUAAUCGCUCUGUCUUCUGACUUCCUGCUGGCCAAGUACCAAGGCUUGGUGAGCAUCUCAGCAGGUGGUUCCGGGUCCAUCAGCCCGUCUGGACUAAGGUCUCUGCUGCAGGACCUGAACCAGGUUCCUGUGGCGGUUAAGAAAGGUGAAGUGUCUGGGCGUGUGGAGGCGGCGGUGGAGGCGGCGGUGGAGGCGGCAGUGGAGGCGUGUUUCAACGGGGUGCUGGCGCCGACGGCUAGUGCAGAGCAUGUGCUGGCAUGGCUGCAGGGCGACCCCGCCCUGUUGCCAUGGUUACCCGCUUUGUUCCGGCUGACGGCCAGUCAGAAGGUUCGUCACCCUGUCCGCUGCCACAGCUGUAAGACCGCUCCCAUCACUGGGCUCAGGUACCGAUGCAUGAGGUGUGUCAACGUUCACGUGUGCCAGAGCUGCUUCCUGACGGAGCGGCACAGAGGGAAGCACAAAGCCCACCACCCGGUGCUGGAGUUCUGCUCUCAGCCCACCUGGAGGGAGUCUCUGUUCUCGUUGGUGCACAGCGCUCGCCAUGCCUUGUUGCCCAGGCAACGCACUCAAAGAGUAGUGCACAGAAGCGUUCAGAUGUGGGAGGAGCCAGAAGAAAAGAAGAACAGUUCUCCACCUUCAGACGCUGCGCUGCCAACGGCCUCAGCCCUCAGCCCCCCUGAGGAUCCUCCUCCACCAUCAUCUUCAUCAAAGGCUUUACAGACAGAGGUGGAGUCUCCGUGUGAGCAGCCGCCCGUCCUGCUGACUGAAGUCAGGAACCUGCAGAGAGACAAGUGGCUGCUGGAGCAGCAGAUGAGGGCGUGGCAGCUCACGGUCCAAUCAGAGCACAGCCUGUUGGAGGACAGGUGCGCCGACAUGGAAGGGACCUUAGAAAGACUCCGGCAUCACAACAGCCACCUGCAGGACAUGCUGACGCAGGCUUUGGACAGGAUGGACUCCCACAAAGACAAUAAUGACACACGUCUGAGUUUAGAAGAAGAGAGUGAAACAUCUGCAGAAGACAGACAGGAAACGCCUGAGGAGGAGGAGGAGGAGGACGACGACCAGCAGUGCUCAAGGGAAACGACUCAGUCUCCCACAAAUCUCCUGGCUCUGUCACAUGAUGCAGACUGGGAGGAGGAGGAGAAGGUGGAGGAGGAGGAAGAGGUGGAGGAGAAGAAGAAGGAAGAGGAGGAGGAGCAGGAAGAGGAGGAGGCGACUGCUGACAUUAGUCUUCUAUCAAUAAAGGAGGAUGAGGAAGGUGAAGGGGCAGGGCCAAACAGUUUGUCGUCCAUGGAAGAGGAGCAUUCUGGGACAUGUAGUCUAGAUGAGCUGCUGCUGCAGGCGGUGGAGCGACUGAAGGCGACAAUAGAGGCAGACAGGUGGACAGAGAGACAGACAGAGGGCGCCGCCCCCGUCUGCUGUCGGUCACUGAUCACCUGAUCCUCUGGUCAGUCGUGCAGCCUUGGAUCUUCUCAUGGCGGUAAACACCUGAGCCUGCAGAAAUCCUCAUCCGUCCAUAAAUCUGCCUUAGUCGACCCGGUGUGGACGCCUGUGGACGCCACAGACUGCAUCCUGUGACCCGUCAGUCUGAAUGUGGUCCCACAGUGAUGACAUCAUCACUCCUGCUGAACUCUGCUGAAUGAUCUAGAACGUGCAGACGGAACUCUGCUGGUUCUCCUUGGAGCUCAGACCUGCUCAUAACCCGUCCCAAACACCUGGAGAACGUCUGACUUGUCUACAGCGCGUCAGAACACUUCCAUCGUUUCAGAGAACUAGGCCAUGACGGAACCAUGGAGAACAUCUGACGGAGCGGUGGAGAACCUGAACCUGGGCCGGGCUGACACAGGAAAGUUUGCCUUUGUUCUCCUGAACUUCUGGUCCGGGUUCCGCUGUUGCAGUAAAGCGGAGCUCCCUGACAGAUCGGUUGAUCUCAGCAUCAGAACCACCAAGAUCUCAGAACGUUCAUCCAGGGUUCAGAGAACCUCCUAUGAAACAGCUGGAUGGACCUCAGGACAGACCAACGUUCUCUGCUGGAACCAGAAGCGGGUGGUUCUCUCAACACCUGGGCUAACUGGACUGACGUUUGACGGCCACCUUCUGAGUCCUGUUGUGACGUCACUACAGAUGUGGCUCGCUCGCAGACAGGUAAGAUCUUGCGCGCCAAAUGGGUUGAACUCCGCUCACAGGCCCCACCCUCACCUGGACUACGUUCUAGGCGCGUGAACCUUAAUACACAAACCCACACGGCGCUUGGAUCACGCAUUAGUCACAUGGUUAGCUUGUAUUUAACCGCUAGCCUUUGAUCGCUGGUUCCGACUGAACACACCUGU